CCUACGGGUGGCAGCAGUGGGGAAUAUUGGACAAUGGGGGCAACCCUGAUCCAGCCAUGCCGCGUGUGUGAAGAAGGCCCUCGGGUUGUAAAGCACUUUCAGUGAGGAAGAAUGCCUGGUGGUUAAUACCCAUCAGGAAAGACAUCACUCACAGAAGAAGCACCGGCUAACUCCGUGCCAGCAGCCGCGGUAAUACGGAGGGUGCGAGCGUUAAUCGGAAUUACUGGGCGUAAAGCGCGCGUAGGUGGCUUGAUAAGCCGGUUGUGAAAGCCCCGGGCUCAACCUGGGAACGGCAUCCGGAACUGUCAAGCUAGAGUGCAGGAGAGGAAGGUAGAAUUCCCGGUGUAGCGGUGAAAUGCGUAGAGAUCGGGAGGAAUACCAGUGGCGAAGGCGGCCUUCUGGACUGACACUGACACUGAGGUGCGAAAGCGUGGGUAGCAAACAGGAUUAGAUACCCUAGUAGUC
rnacentral:rRNA from 1 species